AGAUGUAGAACUCUGACCUUCUCCAGCACCAUGUCUGCCUGGACACUGCCGUACUCCCACCUUGAUGAUAAUGGACUGAACCUCUGAACCUUUUCAGAUUCUGGCUGCCAGACAACACCUUGGGAGGAUCCCAACUGCGCACAGAUGCCGGAAUUACUACAACUAUGCGUGGAAGCCGUUCAGCUUGCCAAACAGGACAGCAAGCAAUUAUUUGAAGCAGCUGGAUUCAAGAAGCCUGGAUCACAUGUUAUUGCACGCGGAGGACUCACGGGUUAUGGAGAGCUGAACAAUGUAAUUACGUUCAUGGAGUGCCACUUACUAAUUUUGAAGUUCUGCAUUUUCAGGCUACCAUGGCAAGGUUUUCUUAUCCAUCCUGGUGGGAGAUUUGGGCAAAAGUCAGACCUCCUGCUGUGCAGAACACCUGACUGGACUUGGAAGGAAGAAUAGCUUCCCCUCCUUGGACAAAGAGUGGUGUACAUUCCUGCACCUGGAGAAAGAAUCAAUAAUAUUGCUAAAGAUGCUGGAGUGAAGCCCAGGCAAACUUUUGCUGAAUGAAGAGCAUAAACAUGCUUCAGUUGCUUUCUUCUGAAGAUGAGAAAAAAAAAUGCUCAGGAAAGGCAAAGUCAUAGAGUACUCUUCUGCUUUUCUCCACAGAUGUGAGGUAUAAACUAAGACAACCAACACUGAGAAGACAGUACAUCCAAGUUCAGGUCGAGUCCAUCUCCUGAUGAAUGCACAAAUCUCCUUUGCAGGACCUGUGAGGACCUAAGUGACCUGCCCACAUGGCUAAUCUCAAUACAGGGCACUUUCUUCUCCUGUUAUUUUGGGUCCAUACAGAAGAUAUCUUCAAGGAACUAUCCUGGGGCUGGAGAGCGGGCUCAGCGGUUAAGAACACUGAACGCUCUUCCGAAGG
rnacentral:lncRNA from 1 species